GACGAACGCUGGCGGCGUGCUUAACACAUGCAGGUCGAACGGUAAGGCCCUUCGGGGUACACGAGUGGCGAACGGGUGAGUAACACGUGGGUGAUCUGCCCUGCACUUCGGGAUAAGCCUGGGAAACUGGGUCUAAUACCGGAUAGGACUCCGGACUGCAUGGUCUGGGGUGGAAAGCUUUUGCGGUGUGGGAUGGGCCCGCGGCCUAUCAGCUUGUUGGUGGGGUGAUGGCCUACCAAGGCGACGACGGGUAGCCGGCCUGAGAGGGUGACCGGCCACACUGGGACUGAGACACGGCCCAGACUCCUACGGGAGGCAGCAGUGGGGAAUAUUGCACAAUGGGCGCAAGCCUGAUGCAGCGACGCCGCGUGAGGGAUGACGGCCUUCGGGUUGUAAACCUCUUUCAGCAUCGACGAAGCGAAAGUGACGGUAGGUGCAGAAGAAGGACCGGCCAACUACGUGCCAGCAGCCGCCGCAG
rnacentral:rRNA from 1 species